CAUGACCGGAACUCAAACCUGUCAAGGCCAUCAAAAACAAAGGAAGUCUGACAAGCUGUCACAGCUACAAUGUGCCUAAGAAGAAGCAGUGACUAAGAGUUAUGGGAUCCCAUCUUAGAAAAACGGAAACUGGUUUCAAAUAACCAGGUGUGGCUGGGGAGCGGCUCCAGGUAGAGGCACUUGCUGCCAAGCCUGAAGACCUGAGCUUCCUUGCUGGGACCCAUAUGACAGAGAGGAGAGAACUGACUCCUGUAAACUGUCUCCUGACUUCUACACACGUGUACGAACACUCAAGCAUGAUCCAAAACAAACACACGAAUAAACAUAUAAAUAAAUAAAUGU
rnacentral:lncRNA from 1 species